rnacentral:rRNA from 1 species
GACGAACGCUGGCGGCGUGCUUAACACAUGCAAGUCGAACGGAAAGGCCCUGCUUGCUGGGUACUCGAGUGGCGAACGGGUGAGUAACACGUGGGUGAUCUGCCCUGCACUUCGGGAUAAGCUUGGGAAACUGGGUCUAAUACCGGAUAGGACCGCACUUUAGUGUGUGUGGUGGAAAGUUUUUUCGGUGUAGGAUGAGCUCGCGGCCUAUCAGCUUGUUGGUGGGGUAAUGGCCUACCAAGGCGGCGACGGGUAGCCGGCCUGAGAGGGUGUACGGCCACAUUGGGACUGAGAUACGGCCCAGACUCCUACGGGAGGCAGCAGUGGGGAAUAUUGCACAAUGGGCGCAAGCCUGAUGCAGCGACGCCGCGUGGGGGAUGAAGGCCUUCGGGUUGUAAACUCCUUUCGCUAGGGACGAAGCUUUUUGUGACGGUACCUAGAUAAGAAGCACCGGCUAACUACGUG